GCAACUGUCUUUUCAGCGGUUACGUCGGGGAAGCAACGGCCUUCCAGCCGUAGGUUCCAGGUUCGAGUCCUGGCAGGCGCGCCA
rnacentral:tRNA from 1 species